GAUAUGGCUCAGGAUGAACGCUAGCGACAGGCUUAACACAUGCAAGUCGAGGGGCAGCACAGGUAGCAAUACCGGGUGGCGACCGGCGCACGGGUGAGUAACGCGUAUGCAACUUGCCUAUCAGAGGGGGAUAACCCGGCGAAAGUCGGACUAAUACCGCAUGAAGCAGGGGCCCCGCAUGGGGAUAUUUGCUAAAGAUUCAUCGCUGAUAGAUAGGCAUGCGUUCCA
rnacentral:rRNA from 1 species